rnacentral:rRNA from 1 species
CCUACGGGUGGCAGCAGUGGGGAAUAUUGGUCAAUGAGCGGGAGCCUGAACCAGCGACACCGCGUGAGCGAAGAAGGUACAGCGUAUCGUAAACCUCUUUUGUCGGGGAACAAAGGCGGGGACUAGUCCCCUGAUGAGGGUACCUGAAGAAAAAGCAUCGGCUAACGCAGUGCCAGCAGCCGCGGUACGACGGAGGAUGCGAGCGUUAUCCGGAUUUAUUGGGUUUAAAGGGUGCGCAGGCGGCUUGUUAAGUCAGCGGUAAAAGCCCGGGGCUCAACCCCGGCGAGCGGUUGAAACGGGCGAGCUGGAGUUGGAGAGAAGUACGCGGAAUGCGCGGUGUAGCGGUGAAAUGCUUAGAUAUCGCGCAGAACCCCGAUGGCGAAGGCAGCGUACCGGCUCCACACUGACGCUGAGGCACGAAAGCGUGGGUAUCGAACAGGAUUAGAUACCCGGGUAGUC